GAUGAACGCUGGCGGCGUGCCUAAUACAUGCAAGUCGAGCGAACGGACGAGAAGCUUGCUUCUCUGAUGUUAGCGGCGGACGGGUGAGUAACACGUGGAUAACCUACCUAUAAGACUGGGAUAACUUCGGGAAACCGGAGCUAAUACCGGAUGAUAUUUUGAACCGCAUGGUUCAAAAGUGAAAGACGGUCUUGCUGUCACUUAUAGAUGGAUCCGCGCUGCAUUAGCUAGUUGGUAAGGUAACGACUUACCAAGGCAACGAUGCAUAGCCGACCUGAGAGGGUGAUCGGCCACACUGGAACUGAGACACGGUCCAGACUCCUACGGGAGGCAGCAGUAGGGAAUCUUCCGCAAUGGGCGAAAGCCUGACGGAGCAACGCCGCGUGAGUGAUGAAGGUCUUCGGAUCGUAAAACUCUGUUAUUAGGGAAGAACAUAUGUGUAAGUAACUGUGCACAUCUUGACGGUACCUACUCAGAAAGCCACGGCUAACUACGUG
rnacentral:rRNA from 1 species